AGUGAACGCUGGCGGUAUGCCUAACACAUGCAAGUCGAACGGCAGCACAGUAAGAGCUUGCUCUUACGGGUGGCGAGUGGCGGACGGGUGAGGAAUACAUCGGAAUCUACUUUUUCGUGGGGGAUAACGUAGGGAAACUUACGCUAAUACCGCAUACGACCUACGGGUGAAAGCAGGGGAUCUUCGGACCUUGCGCGAUUGAAUGAGCCGAUGUCGGAUUAGCGAGUUGGCGGGGUAAAGGCCCACCAAGGCGACGAUCCGUAGCUGGUCUGAGCGGGUGAUCAGCCACACUGGGAGUGAAACACGGUCCAGACUCCGACGGGAGGCAGCAGUGGGGAAUAUUGGACAAUGGGCGGAAGCCUGAUCCAGCCAUGCCGCGUGGGUGAAGAAGGCCUUCGGGUUGUAAAGCCCUUUUGUUGGGAAAGAAAAGCAGCAGGUUAAUACAACGCUGUUCUGACGGUACCCAAAGAAUAAGCACCGGCUAACUUCGUG
rnacentral:rRNA from 1 species